CAGCAGCCGCGGUAAUACAGAGGACGCAAGCGUUAUCCGGAAUGAUUGGGCGUAAAGCGUCUGUAGGUGGCUUUUCAAGUCCGCCGUCAAAUCCCCGGGCUCAACCCUGGACAGGCAGUGGAAACUACCAAGCUGGAGUACGGUAGGGGCAGAGGGAAUACCCGGUGGAGCGGUGAAAUGCGUUGAGAUCGGAAAGAACACCAACGACGAAAGCACUCUGCUGGGCUGACACUGACACUGAGAGACGAAAGCUAGGGGAGCAAAUGGGAUUAGAUACCCCAGUAGUCCCUGUCUCUUAUAC
rnacentral:rRNA from 1 species